UACGUAGGGGCAAGCGUUGUCCGGAUUUAUUGGGCGUAAAGAGCGUGUAGGCGGCUUUACAGGUCCGUUGUGAAAACUCGAGGCUCAACCUCGAGACGCCGGUGGAAACCGUAAAGCUAGAGUCCGGAAGAGGAGAGUGGAAUUCCUGGUGUAGCGGUGAAAUGCGCAGAUAUCAGGAAGAACACCCGUGGCGAAGGCGGCUCUCUGGGACGGUACUGACGCUGAGACGCGAAAGCGUGGGGAGCAAACAGG
rnacentral:rRNA from 1 species